AUUGAACGCUGGCGGCAGGCCUAACACAUGCAAGUCGAACGAGUGGCGGACGGGUGAGUAAUGUCUGGGACACUGCCCGAUGGAGGGGGAUAACUACUGGAAACGGUAGCUAAUACCGCAUACCAUCGGAUGUGCCCAGAUGGGAUUAGCUAGUAGGUGGGGUAACGGCUCACCUCGGCGACGAUCCCUAGCUGGUCUGCGAGGAUGACCAGCAAAACUGGAACUGGGACAGGGUCAGGAGUCCUACGGGAGGCAGCAGUGGGAAAUAUUGCACAAUGGGGGAAAGCUUGAUGCAGCCAGGCCGGGUGGAUGAAGAAGGCCUUCGGGUGGUAAAGUACUUUAAUCGAGGAGGCGGUACUCGCAGAAGAAGCACCGGCUAACUCCGUGCCAGCAGCCGCGGUAAUAC
rnacentral:rRNA from 1 species